rnacentral:lncRNA from 1 species
GAGAGUUGGUUAGGUCAGACAAGUUGAACUGUAGGUGGAGGCAAGGCAGGGGGAGGAGUAAUUCUAGUUCGUUUAUUAAGGUGGCUACUUACUGGAUCAGGCAAUCUCUUCUUAAGUUGUUGGGGUUGUUGUUAGGUAUGGACUCGGGCAAUACAUUGGUGCUUGGCCGAGAUGAGGUCUUCAGCCAACUGGGUAUGUUAUAGAACCUCC